rnacentral:rRNA from 1 species
CCUGGGGCUGUAGUAGGUCCCAAGGGUUGGGCUGUUCGCCCAUUAAAGUGGUACGCGAGCUGGGUUCAGAACGUCGUGAGACAGUUCGGUCCCUAUCCGUCGCAGGCGUAGGAAAUUUGAGAAGACCUGUCCUUAGUACGGGAGGACCGGGAUGGACGUACCUCUGGUGUACCAGUUGUCCUGCCAAGGGCAUGGCUGGGUAGCUAUGUACGGAAUGGAUAAGCGCUGAAAGCAUCUAAGCGCGAAGCCAACUUCAAGAUAAGAUUUC